rnacentral:misc_RNA from 1 species
AACGCACCUUGCGCUCCCUGGUAUUCCGGGGAGCACGCCUGUUCGAGUGUCAUGAAAUUAUCAAUCCGAAUGGUUUAAUCGCUGUUCUGGUAUUGGAUUUGAACCCUGCUGUGUCUACGCUCGGCUGGUUCUAAAAGUAUUAGCUUGGUCCUUGGGAAUCUUUUGGUUCUACUCGACGUGAUAAUUAUCUGACGUUGAGGACACUUCUGUUACAGGGAGUGGCCAUGAUUUUCUAUUGGGGGAUUGCUUUCGAAUCGUCUGUCAAAAGGACACAAUUUUCAAUAUCUGACCUCGAAUCAGGUGGGACUACCCGCUGAACUUAA